rnacentral:tRNA from 1 species
UCCCUGGUGGUCCAGUGGUUAGGAUUCUGCACUUUCAACACUGAGAGCCCAGGUUCAAUCCCUGGUUAGGGAA